ensembl:snRNA U1 spliceosomal RNA
AUACUUACUUCCUGGCAGAGGAAAUACCAUGAUCAUGAAGGUGUUUUCCCGAGUGAGGCUUAUCCAUUGCAUUCUGUAUAUGCUUACUGACACCAAAAUGUGAUUGCAAGAGUCAGCAAGUUGUUUCUGCAACCUCUUGUGACUGGCAUGCAGCUCAUUUGGGCUUGUGAG